rnacentral:rRNA from 1 species
AUUGAACGCUGGCGGCAGGCCUAACACAUGCAAGUCGAGCGGCAGCGGGAAAGUAGCUUGCCACUUUUGCCGGCGAGCGGCGGACGGGUGAGUAAUGCCUGGGAAAUUGCCCAGUCGAGGGGGAUAACAGUUGGAACCGACUGCUAAUACCGCAUACGCCCUACGGGGGAAAGCAGGGGACCUUCGGGCCUUGCGCGAUUGGAUAUGCCCAGGUGGGAUUAGCUAGUUGGUGAGGUAAUGGCUCACCAAGGCGACGAUCCCUAGCUGGUCUGAGAGGAUGAUCAGCCACACUGGAACUGAGACACGGUCCAGACUCCUACGGGAGGCAGCAGUGGGGAAUAUUGCACAAUGGGGGAAACCCUGAUGCAGCCAUGCCGCGUGUGUGAAGAAGGCCUUCGGGUUGUAAAGCACCUUCAGCGAGGAGGAAAGGUUGAUGCCUAAUACGUAUCAACUGUGACGUUACUCGCAGAAGAAGCACCGGCUAACUCCGUGCCAGCCGCCGCAGUAAGAC